rnacentral:rRNA from 1 species
GAUGAACGCUGGCUACAGGCUUAACACAUGCAAGUCGAGGGGAAACGCCGGGGAAGCUUGCUUCCCCGGGCGUCGACCGGCGCACGGGUGAGUAACGCGUAUCCAACCUGCCUCUGACUGAGGGAUAACCCGUCGAAAGUCGGCCUAAUACCUCAUGGCAUCGUCUGCGGGCAUCCAACGACGAUUAAAGAUUUCAUCGGGCAGGGAUGGGGAUGCGUCUGAUUAGCUUGUUGGCGGGGUAACGGCCCACCAAGGCUACGGUCAGUAGGGGUUCUGAGAGGAAGGUCCCCCACAUGGGAACUGAGACACGGUCCAAACUCCUACGGGAGGCAGCAGUGAGGAAUAGUGGUCAAUGGGCGGGAGCCUGAACCAGCCAAGUAGCGUGCAGGAAGACGGCCCUAUGGGUUGUAAACUGCUUUUAUGCGGGGAUAAAGUGAGGGACGUGUCCUUCAUUGCAGGUACCGCAUGAAUAAGGACCGGCUAAUUCCGUG